rnacentral:lncRNA from 10 species
GACAUUCUUAAAGUGGAGCUAGCAAAGCUGGGAAUGGCCUUCCACAAGAGGAAACCUAAGACUGGACCCAGAAUAGUAAAGGUGGGUUUGGGGACUUGAGGCAAGUGAGAAAGCUCUGGAAAUGCCGCUGGAUAAAUUCUGUAGGGAUGCAUUCCUGGAGAGGUGGUGCCGCGGUGAAAGUGGUGUACAUGGAUAGUGAACCGCACCUACAUGAUGGCAUGAUUUUCUUCAGGCAUGCCCAUCAACCUGGGAGUAGGAAAAAAGCCCAAGAAUGCUGGAUUUUCCCUAACGUGAAGGAAGGGAAAGUGACAACCCCACAAAUCAAACAGCUGCCAUGUCGUGAGCUGCCCAGUGGAGAGACCAACCAGGCAAGGAACUGAGGGAGGUCUCUGGCCAACAGCCAGGGUGGAAAUGAGUCCUCAGUCCAACAACCCAUGAGGACUUGAGUCUGCCAACAGCCACAUGAGUGAGCUUGGAAGCAGAUCCUCCCCAGCAGAGCCUUAGAUGACGGCUGCCUCAGUCAACACUCAACUGCAGUCUUGUGAGAGACCCCGAGCCAGAGGACCCAGAUAAGUGUUGCCCAGAUUCCUGACUCACAGAAACUGUGAGACAAUAUAUGUUUGUUGUUUUAAGCUGCUAAGGUGGAGUGACUUGAUAUGUAGUCAUAGAUAACUAAUACAAUGGAUGUUGACGUCUUGAGAACAACAGGAGACAAGGUUGAGAAGAAAAUCAUGAACCAGGAGCAGUGGUCAUCAUUAAACAUAAAGCAGAGCUCCUUCCACUUUACUGUGCAGACAGAACGCUUAGGGGUCUUGUGAAAAUGCAGAUUCUGACUCAGUAGUUUUGGGACCUACCCUUAGUUCAUUGUACAUUUCUUUUUUCUUUCUUUCUUUUCUUUUUUUUUUUUUUUGAGACAGAGUCUCGCUGUGUUGCCCAGGCUGGAGUGCAGUGGCGUGAUCUCGGCUCACCACAACCUCCGCCUCCCAGGUUCAAGUAAUUCUCCUGCCUCAGCCUCCCAAGUAGCUGGGACUACAGGUGUGUGCCACCACGCCCAGCUAAUUUUUUUUUUUGUAUUGUUAGCAGAGAUGGAGUUUCACUAUGUUGGCCAGGCUGGCUUUGAACUCCUGACUUCAAGUGAUCCACCCACCUCAGCCUCCCAAAGUGCUGCGAUUACAGGUAUGAGCCACCGUGCCCGGCCUUUUCAUAUAUGUAUUUAUUUAUUUUGAGACAGAGUCUCGCUCUGUCACUCAGGCUGGAGUGCAGUGGUCAUCUCAACUUACUGCAAACUCUGCCUCCCGGAUUCAAGCAAUUCUUCUCCUGCCUCAGCCUCCGAGUAGCUGGAACUACAGGCACGUGCCGCCACACUCGACUAAUUUUUGUAUUUUUUUAGUAGAGACGGGGUUUCACCAUGUUGGCCAGGCUGGUC